GCCUCCUUAGCGCAGUAGGUAGCAUGUCAGUCUCAUAAUCUGAAGGUCCUGAGUUUGAUUCUCAGAGGUGGCA